GAAAUUAAAAACGAACCUUCUUGUUUUUAAAUAGGGAUUUUUUUUAAAAAAAUGUUUAAUAGACUAGAUUUGAAUCCCUUAAAGGCAACUUUGCCGAGGUGAUCAUUUUAUUUUUUGAUCGCUUCUUUUCCCUGUUGCCAAUAUCAAAUAAGGAUUUUGGUGCGUGAUCUCUUAACUCCAUUUAUCUGAUCAAUGCAAAUCCUAAUGAGGAUUGUUAAUCCACAUUUUCCAUUUUUAAUGUGUACUAAUAUUUUUCAUUUAAUAUGCACACACAUACAAUUGCUUGGCCUUUUUUUUUAAUUGGGAAUGUACUUUAAAAUCUCAAUUAAUAAUUUGUGAAUUUAAAAAUAGUCCUCUAGAUAUUUUGUAAUUUUAUAUUACCAUUUAUCCCUAAUUUGGACAUUUAAUGCCCGAGCAAGGGGUUUCGCAUUUUUUAGUUGAAAACAUUGUUAAUGGGAUGGUAGAGACAGGGGAUCAGCAUGUCUCACUUGGAAAAUUAUUGUGACUAACAAUGAUCGCUGAAUCUCGCCACAUGUAAAUUUUCUCAAACGAUUAGUGAUUUGGACGUUGUCUAUAUUUGAACCUAGCCCAUUUGAAUGAACAAUACAGAAAAACAUUCUUUCUGUGUUAAAAACUUUGUUAAUUAGUAGUACAGACACUGGAUGUUCGAGUAUAUCUCACUCAGAAAAAUGCUGUGGCUAACAAUAUUCCUGAACUCUGACACUUGUAUAGUUUCACCAACAAUAAUUGAUUUAAACAUUGUAUACAUUUGAACCUAGCCGAUUUGAAUGAACAAAACACAUAAAUUAAUAAGAUCAAAUGCAAGGCCAAGGUGGUCAGGGUGGUGGUGUCAUACCGCAUUCUUGGGUUUCAUUCCUAUCUCCUUUAACAUUAAAUAAUCUUUGAAUGAAAAUAUAACACUUAUGUACUCUAAAGUGAAGACUUAAAGAGUGCUUUCUUAAUGAUAAGGUUUGGAAUCGAAUGUAAGAUGUCAUGUCAUGGCACUGUCCAACCUGACCACCUAUGUUUUAUGUCUCUAUGUUUUUUUUUGUGUUUUAGUUUUUAUUAAUUCAAUACGAUGGAUGGUUUGGAUAUUAGAUGUUUGAAAUCGUCUUUUAAAAAAAAUUGACAAGGGAUGAGCUUCUCUUGAAAGAAGGAUUGUCUGGAACAAUAGAUGUUCGAACUGGUCCAUUGAUAAGAAACCCAUUUUGGUUAUCCAAUGUUUGAAUUGUUUGUUGUAAAAAUAGAGGAUAUUUGAUUUGUUUCUUUUCAAGGCAUCAAUCACCGUUUGUAUACCUCUCUUAUAUCGAUGGAGGAUGUUGUGCCUCUAAGAAAAUAGUCACUCGUUUUUGAGGACUUUUUUGUAAAAGUGGGUAGGCCCAGCCUAUGACUAUAGGUGUUUGAGAGGCCAUCUCUUUCAUUUGAUAUUGGGUUGGGCUCGCUAUAUUGUUACCUUUCGUCCAUGAAGUUUUUGGGCCUUUUAAAUUUAGAUGUUCUGAGGAGUGUUUGUAAAUUGGCCAGUAAUUAGUGUUGUGAAAUAAAUGGUUGACUUUAGCUAUGCCAUAUUUGAUCCUUUAUCCUAUGAUUGACUUGAUUUUUGGAGGGUAAGCUCCUGAUGUUUUGGAUUAAAGAUAAACUGAGCUGUCAGAUUACUAUUUUGGGGUAGUUUGAGCAAAGUUUGACCAUGCCUCCAUUUGGAAUGUCUGAUUGUUUGAUUUGGGCUUGAUUGGGUUGUGAUAUUUCUUGUUUGCGGAGGGGAGCAUCUUUCUAUCAUAUUAAGGGCAUUUUUUCUUUUUUUCAUCUUAAAAUUUAUUAUGAGAUUGUUUUUUACCUACCGAAGUAGACUUAGUUGGGUUGGGCUUUUGUAGCGUAGAACCAGUAUAACACUCGUUAAGUGGUAUAAGUUUGUUGAAAUAGAAAGCUCAAAAAUGGGUAAAGGUCCCGAGUAGAACUGUCGUGUGGGGCUAUUAAUGUAUUUAACCAUGGGAACUAGGCCUGACCUAUUAUUUUCUUUGGUACCAAUUGUGGAAUUGUUUUAUUUAAUCUUCAUGAACUAACAAGUACACCAUGGAAGGCUUAAUUUCAAAACUUGAUGAACAAUGAAGGAAGCAAUGGGUGGUGGUGGAAGCUAGGCUAUUUCUCUCUCUUUCUCUUUAUUAAGUUCUCAAAUAAAUUGAAGUUGUGUUUUUUGAAUCUUAGGUUUGUAUUUAUAUUAAAGUGGUACUUAGUGAAGUGAUAUAGAUCAUUGAUGCUUUUUAUCUAUGGCACAUGAGAUGGCUAUGAUCCUAGCCACUCAUCCACAUCUAUCCACCAAGAUGAAGGGAUGAGAUUACCACACUUCUGUAACCCCUUACUGACCUAUUUAUGGGAUGUUUUGAUCAUUUUUCCUUUUAGGCAUGCUUCACAUUUAUGACAUGGCUCAAACUUUUGUGAUGAAGCCACAUAAGAAAGUCAUAUUUCAAAAUAUCUCCCAUGGAUUAGAUUUUGUUUUGGCUCAAAUAUCUUAAAUAUAUCAAAAGGGUUACAUGGGAGCCUUAUACAAUUACUAAAAGAUUAUACGCACCUAUGGUGCUUUGGUGAUUAUAUUAGAUACCAAGGCUUGUUAUAGAAUUUUUACAAUGGAGUAAAUUGUAAAUUACUUGUGGGACAAGAACCAAAGAGUAAAAAGGUUAACCUAGGGUUUAUGGGUGAUUUGUGUGUUGUAGUCUCAUUUCUGAUCUUGAUGGUUGGAUUGAGAUGAGUGGUUAGGAUCAUAGCCUCUCAUAUGCCAUAGAUGAAAGGCAUCAAGGGCCAAGAUCACUUCACCCGUUAUUACUUUAAUAUAAAUACAUUAGAUUUAUUCAACAUUAACUUCAUACCAGUUGAGGACUUAGAAAGAGAAAGAGACUCAAAGUGGCCUCUACGCUCCUACCGUUUUUCCUUCAUUGGUCAUCAAGUUUUGAAACCAAAAUCCCGUAUGGUGUGCUCACUAGUUCAAUUCUAUACUGCUUUUAUUGAUGUUUAAUUUCAUCAAAGAUACAUUUUCCUCAUCUUUAGGUUGUAAAUCUUAAUUCCAUGGUAUUUCAUGAUAGAAUUAAAACAUAUGCAUCUUACCUUGAUGUUGUGUAGUCUAGAUUGAAUUUCUAUCAACUAGACAUCCUUUUCUCUAGCUUUUGCUCACUUGAUUUCAUUGAGCAUUUAAGUGAUCGUAAUCAUUAGAUCAGUGAGUCUUCUAAGUCCUCUAAGUUUCCAAAAUAUUGACUUCGUUAUUGCCUUGAGUAGUCUUCUAAGUCUAUGAACCAUGAAAAUCUACGUGCUCAUUGUCUAAGUGUUUUUAGCAGCAUCUCUCUCAACCUAUUUUGAUGUUUAAUCUUCGUCAUCUCUAUCUCACUUUGAACCUACCCUUCAGAAUUAUAAACUAUACCAUACAUGCUUUUAUGUAUGGAACAAUACUAAGUGCCUCAAAGGUCCAUCUUGUGAUCUGGGCACAAAGGGUAUGAGUUUUGGUUUUUCCAUACUGAGCACUCCACUCAUUGUGGUUAUAUUUGUGAAUAAUUUGAGAUUGUAUUCAAGUUGAUUAUUUAACCGCUUUGUUUUAGUUAUGGAUGACAUAAUUAGGAACCUAUAGGAUGAAAUAUUGUGGUUCAUGUUGUUCGCAUAUGCAUAGUUGUGACCGAUGAGACCCAAAACGGCGUCAAAAUAAAUUUAGAACUUUGGAAGGAUGCUCUAGAUUCCAAAAGUUUUAAAAUUCGUCAGACUAAGAAAGAAUAUGGAAUGCAAGUUUUGUAAUAAUAGAAAUAGAGACGAGGAAGUAGUUACGAUUGAUUGGCCACAAAGUACAAAAAAAGAGUAUUUGGAUUGCAAGUUUGGUAGUAAUAGGAAUAGAGACGAGGAAGUGGUUAAGAUUAAUUGGCCACGAAGUACAAAAAAGACUGCACUUUGGGUAUCUUGUAUCGAUAAUUCAGGAAAAUGGAGAGAUUGAGGACGAUGCUUGACACAAAAUUAGAGUUGGUUGGGCGAAGUGGAGAUAACUAGAAUUUUAUGUGCAUCACAUACCAAUGAAGCAAUACACCCAUAGAAUGAGUGUAGCAUAUAUGAGGAUGUUGAGAUUGAAGAUUGGCUAGACAAGAAGGGAUAGAAUUUGAAAUGAAUCCAUUCGGAUUAAUUUAGGUGAGGCAUCAAUAGGCGACUUUAUGAGUCCAAUGUUAUUAUAUUCGCUGUAAAAUACUCCCAAAACAAACCUUUCUAAAAUCUUGAAGUGUUACAAAACCUUAUAGUUCAUAGCCUCCCUUCUUUACCGCACUUCACCGUGACCACCAUAGGCUCAAAUGAUGUUCCAUGGACUUUCAAUUAGAGUGAUGUCUUUCUGACCAUAUAGGCCUUAAAAAUUAAGGUAUCACAUUUUACCUCAAAGAGAAUAUUUUACACACUUAACCUAACCCUAAUUUUCUCUUAUAAAAAAGGGUUCGUGGCCCCUUUAGUUUUCACUCACUUGAGAGUAAUAAGUUUUUUCCCAAAAUUUUAUUGUGAUAACGGUAGAGGGAUAGGCAUGCCUGUAGUAGAGUGAGGAGUCAUAGCCAGCCUCCCUUCUUUACCGCACUUCACCGUGACCACCAUAGGCUCAAAUGAUGUUCCAUGGACUUUUAUUCCACUCAUUUUCUUCGUCAAACACCUUCGUCAUAGGUGAUUUCCAAAAGGUUCAAACCUUUUUGCUAUCUACAUUAGCCCCUUUUAAAUGUCCUCAUAAUGUCAAUUUUUUACUUGGCAUAGUCCAUAACUUUUCCUUCCGUUUAGCCUCAUUAAAAGCUUGUUAUAAGAGAGUAUUUUAGAACCUAAUUCCUCUUUAUUAAAUUAGUCAUUAUUAGUCUAGGUUAAUAUAUAUUAAUCUGAGAGGAGAGUGAAUGAUACAAUAGGUGGGACGUACACCUUAUUUAUACAUUUUUUUUUACUUUGGUUAUCAUGCGACAUUAAAGAAGUAUUAAAACUUUUUCGCAGUUUCGUACUAUAACUACUUCAUGGGCCUUUUGAGAUAUGACCAAUGAGAACUUUCCUUUUGUCAUAUGUGUGGAUCAAUUAAAAUUCUUCGUAAAGUUGGAUGUAAAAACUCUUAGGUCAUUAGUUUGAAUGCUUGAUAUCAACAUAUGCCCUUUCUUGUAAAAUGUGGUUUUCAAACAUGUGUAAAGUGCUACUUUCCCAUACUUAAAACUUUUUAAUGCACAAGUAUAAAACAUGUAGGCUGCCUAUGGAUGAUACGAGUUACACUUUACCAUGUGCGUGCCCCAUAUGGAAGCCCAUUCUGGCGCUCAUGUAGCCUAUUGGCCACAUGUGUCCAGUUGGUCCUUGUUUGAAAUUUUCCUAGUUUUUCCUAUUGGAAAAGAAAAAUAUAGGGGAACUGGUAAUAACAAAUUGAACACUAGGGUUGUUAGACCUUGAUCGAUACUCACAUUGGCAUGAAUUGGCUUUUAACUAUUCUGAGCCAGCUUGUAGAUUUUUAAAACAAAUAGCAGAAAAUUGCACCUACCCCACUCUUGAAAUGAUAGAUAUGCUGGCUUGUGUGUGAUACUUAAAUCGGCAUGUAAUGUGCUCACAGUUGGUUAGUAGUUUUAUAUUAAUGGGGUUGAAAAUCAUAAAAAAGAAAAAAAAAAAAAAAAAACGGACAAAAUUAUUCUCUAAGACUUUGCUCUUAAUCUUUGAUGGGCAAAGAUUAUGUCCUCUUCAAAUGAAUUUUCUAGGAGGAAAAGUUUUUAUAAGGUUAAUACCUUGUGUUACAGAAUUAAGGUACAUCUCAAAAAUUCAUUGGAAAAGGCUUUUUUUAUUUGGAAAACCACCUAAUCAAUCAUUUUCAUGUUGAGAUGUGUGAAUAUGGGAGAAUAAAAUUUCAAUAUCCUAAAAAUAGUACAUCUUGCUAGAUGUUUAUUUUCAAGAUUUUCGUGCAUUUAUAGAUUUGCUUGAUUUGAACCAUUUUUUUUUUUUUUGGAAUUUAUAAUUUUAUAAUUAAAAAUAUAAAAUAUAUUCUCAGGCAUCCUAAGAGUUUUUUACCCCAAAAUUGUAUCUCCAGACAAAGUUUGGAAGUGUGUCCUUCAUUGUUUAAGGUUGAGACCUUAUGCAAACAAUGCCCUUUUGUAAAUCUUCGGACUUUAGAUGAUGCCC
rnacentral:lncRNA from 1 species